rnacentral:tRNA from 1 species
GCGCUCGUAGCUCAGCUGGAUAGAGUGUCUGACUUCGAAUCAGAAUGUCGGGGGUUCGAAUCCCUCCGAGCGCACCA